rnacentral:misc_RNA from 1 species
GAUGAAGAACGUAGCGAAAUGCGAUACGUAAUGUGAAUUGCAGAAUUCAGUGAAUCAUCGAGUCUUUGAACGCACAUUGCGCCCCCUGGUAUUCCGGGGGGCAUGCCUGUCCGAGCGUCAUUGCUGCCCUCAAGCACGGCUUGUGUGUUGGGCCUCCGUCCUCCUCCCGGGGGACGGGCCCGAAAGGCAGCGGCGGCACCGCGUCCGGUCCUCGAGCGUAUGGGGCUUCGUCACCCGCUCUUGUAGGCCCGGCCGGCGCUUGCCGACACAUCAAUCUUUUUUCCAGGUUGACCUCGGAUCAGGUAGGGAUACCCGCUGAACUUAAGCAUAUCAAUAAGCAGAGGA